UAGGGAAUCUUCGGCAAUGGGGGCAACCCUGACCGAGCAACGCCGCGUGAGUGAAGAAGGUUUUCGGAUCGUAAAGCUCUGUUGUAAGAGAAGAACGUGUGUGAGAGUGGAAAGUUCACACAGUGACGGUAACUUACCAGAAAGGGACGGCUAACUACGUGCCAGCAGCCGCGGUAAUACGUAGGUCCCGAGCGUUGUCCGGAUUUAUUGGGCGUAAAGCGAGCGCAGGCGGUUUAAUAAGACUGAAGUUAAAGGCAGUGGCUUAACCAUUGUUCGCUUUGGAAACUGUUAAACUUGAGUGCAGAAGGGGAGAGUGGAAUUCCAUGUGUAGCGGUGAAAUGCGUAGAUAUAUGGAGGAACACCGGUGGCGAAAGCGGCUCUCUGGUCUGUAACUGACGCUGAGGCUCGAAAGCGUGGGGAGCAAACAGG
rnacentral:rRNA from 1 species